rnacentral:rRNA from 1 species
CCUACGGGGGGCAGCAGUGGGGAAUAUUGGGCAAUGGGCGCAAGCCUGACCCAGCAACGCCGCGUGAAGGAAGAAGGCUUUCGGGUUGUAAACUUCUUUUCUCAGGGACGAAGAAAGUGACGGUACCUGAGGAAUAAGCCACGGCUAACUACGUGCCAGCAGCCGCGGUAAUACGUAGGUGGCAAGCGUUAUCCGGAUUUACUGGGUGUAAAGGGCGUGUAGGCGGGGAAGCAAGUCAGAUGUGAAAACCACGGGCUCAACCUGUGGCCUGCAUUUGAAACUGUUUUUCUUGAGUGCUGGAGAGGCAAUCGGAAUUCCGUGUGUAGCGGUGAAAUGCGUAGAUAUACGGAGGAACACCAGUGGCGAAGGCGGAUUGCUGGACAGUAACUGACGCUGAGGCGCGAAAGCGUGGGGAGCAAACAGGAUUAGAUACCCUUGUAGUC